AACCUCCGCAAUGUGAGAAAUCGCGACGGGGGGAUCCCAAGUGCCAUUCUUAACGGGAUGGCUUUUCAUUAGUGUAAAGAGCUUUUGGAAUAAGAGCUGGGCAAGACCGGUGCCAGCCGCCGCGGUAACACCGGCAGCCCUAGUGGUAACAAUUUUUAUUGGGCCUAAAGCGUCCGUAGCCGGUUUAAUAAGUCUCUGGUGAAAUCCUGUAGCUUAACUGUGGGAAUUGCUGGAGAUACUAUUAGACUUGAGACCGGGAGAGGUUAGAGGUACUCCCAGGGUAGAGGUGAAAUUCUGUAAUCCUGGGAGGACCACCUGUGGCGAAGGCGGCUAACUGGAACGAACCUGACGGUGAGGGACGAAAGCUAGGGGCGCGAACCGGAUUAGAUACCCGGGUAGUCCUAGCCGUAAACGAUGCGGACUUGGUGUUGGGAUGGCUUUGAGCCGCUCCGGUGCCGAAGGGAAGCUGUUAAGUCCGCCGCCUGGGAAGUACGGUCGCAAGACUGAAACUUAAAGGAAUU
rnacentral:rRNA from 1 species